rnacentral:rRNA from 1 species
CAGUAGCCGCGGUAAUACAGAGGGUGCGAGCGUUAAUCGGAUUUACUGGGCGUAAAGCGUGCGUAGGCGGCUUUUUAAGUCGGAUGUGAAAUCCCUGAGCUUAACUUAGGAAUUGCAUUCGAUACUGGGAAGCUAGAGUAUGGGAGAGGAUGGUAGAAUUCCAGGUGUAGCGGUGAAAUGCGUAGAGAUCUGGAGGAAUACCGAUGGCGAAGGCAGCCAUUUGGCCUAAUACUGACGCUGAGGUACGAAAGCAUGGGGAGCAAACAGGAUUAGAUACCCCUGUAGUCCCUGUCUCUUAUAC